CAGUAGCCGCGGUAAUACGUAGGUGGCAAGCGUUAUCCGGAAUUAUUGGGCGUAAAGCGCGCGUAGGCGGUUUCUUAAGUCUGAUGUGAAAGCCCACGGCUCAACCGUGGAGGGUCAUUGGAAACUGGGAAACUUGAGUGCAGAAGAGGAAAGUGGAAUUCCAUGUGUAGCGGUGAAAUGCGCAGAGAUAUGGAGGAACACCAGUGGCGAAGGCGACUUUCUGGUCUGUAACUGACGCUGAUGUGCGAAAGCGUGGGGAUCAAACAGGAUUAGAUACCCCAGUAGUCCCUGUCUCUUAUAC
rnacentral:rRNA from 1 species